ACAUCACAGCUGCCACACAACCCUAUCCUAUCAGGCUCACCUCCCACUCCUCUCUCUCAUUCUCCUAGAUCCUCCGCCGCCCCCUCCCCAACCAACCCCCUGCCGGUGUGUGACCUCUCCCGUCAUCUCGCUGGCCGGCGAGCCUGCCGCCUUCCUUCACCGCCACCAGCUCCCCAGCAUGGCUUCCCUCCCUCUUCCCCGCUUCCUACACUGCAUCUCCAUCCGGCCCUCCUCGACCACCUCUUCUUCUCCCCGGCCUCGUCCACCGCAUCGGGCACCCAUGGAUCUGCCGCCACUUCUCAAGGGGUGCCCUCUGAUGACCAAUUCAUGGUGCUGCCAGCCAGAUCCGCGUGGUGACCCAGGGGUACUGAUGCCGUGCACCCAGCCGCCGCCACGCCCGACCACCAGGGCAACUGGACGGUGCUCCCGUCUGCGAGAAAAUCACCCGCGCGGGCAAGGCGCUGAGCGCCACGCUGGUGACGGUGCUACUACGCUUGGCCGCCAUCACGGACGUGAUUGUCGCCUCUAACGCUCCCGCCUACCGAGUGGCGCUGGAGCACCCACGCCUUUUCCAUGCCGACCUCCGUUCCGUGCUUCGCCCCGUCGGCGCCCUACUCGUCGCCUUCCUCCUCGGAUACUUUACGCACUACAACAACUCCGACCUGUGUCACUGCCGUCAACCUCCUCUCCAACGGCAAGGUCAAUCUGGUACAUAAAAGUUGGAAAUGUGACCAUGAAGCUGGAAAUGGAGACCAUCAAUUGUUAUGGCGCUUCCGGACCAUAGAUUACUUCUCUGUGCCAUACGCUACGACGCUGAAGACGCCAUGAGGAGGACUGGACGUCCUCAAGCGGUGCACUUGUGGGGUUGUGGCACACACCGUACAUCCACGGGCGUCCUCAACUGGUGCUGCUUCUGGCUUCCUCGACCAAGCAGCGCAGCUUCACUGCAUCGGCAGAUCAUUUGUUCAUGGUGACCCAUAUGAUGGCGAUUUGCUCUGGCCAUCUCAGUUCUGGCGGUGGUGGUGGCGCUGCUCUUAUAAUGGUAGGCUCAUCUGCCUCCCCUGGCCGCCGCCGUGGUGAUGAAGCUCGGCCUAGGCUACAACCCCCUCCGUUGUAGCGGGAAUGAUGCUGGAGCAGUACAACGAUCAUUAGAUACCUGUGCCAUUUGGGCAGGGAGAAGCUGGGACGGCCCUAAUGCAGUAAUACCACCAUGUGGAAAAUCCAGCAGAUGGACACAACAUUGGUGCCUGGGUGAUGGGAUAAUGUAUGUGUACUAGUGACAUGAUAUUUGUGCUUCUCGUCCAAUCUAUAUUGUUGUGCACUUGUGUACUUGUUGCGCUUUUUUGCCGUGCAGUUGCAAUUGUAGAACUAUUUUUUUGUUGUUGUGCACUUCUUGGUCCUUGAACCUUGCUGUGUAUAGGAGUCAAUGGAUGAUUUAUUGUAUUUCUUGUGAUGUGUUACUGAAAUGAAAUAUACAGUUUUUUUGGAAA